rnacentral:rRNA from 1 species
AUUGAACGCUGGCGGCAGGCCUAACACAUGCAAGUCGAACGAGUGGCGGACGGGUGAGUAAUGUCUGGGAAACUGCCCGAUGGCGGGGGAUAACUACUGGAAACGGUAGCUAAUACCGCAUACCAUCAGAUGUGCCCAGAUGGGAUUGGCUUGUUGGUGGGGUAACGGCUCACCAAGGCUAAGAGCCCUAGCUGGUUUGAGAGGAUGACCAGCCACACUGGAACUGAGAUACGGUCCAGACUCCUACGGGUGGAAGCAGUGGGGAAUAUUGCACAAUGGGGGCAAGCCUGAUGCAGCCAUGCCGCGUGUAUGAUGAAGGCCUUCGGGUUGUAAAGUACUUUUAGCGGGGAAGCGUUACCCGCAGAAUAAGCACCGGCUAACUCCGUGCCAGCAGCCGCGGUAAUUC